rnacentral:lncRNA from 1 species
CCCUGGGCCCUGUUGCAUAAAAAUUUAUGUCAUAAUGACAUAAAUUUCGAUCAUGACAUAAAAUCAUGCAUAGCUUAUGCCGUUGACAUAAAUUUCGUUGCAUAAAAAUAUUUAUGUAUUGUUUUAGCUUAUGACGCGAUUUAAUCAUCAUUACAUAAACUGAAUAGUCAUGAACGAGCCUGUUGACAUAAACUUGGCAUAAGUUGUCAUUUUUCAGCCGCAGGAAGCUCUUGCGAAAAAGGGUCUUCGGCUUUCUAUUUGGACGGGAUAGAGGCCUAUUUUGGUGACCCACACAAACGGUGAGAAGAGGUAAAGAGAGAAAGGGGCACGGCAACUGGAAGGAGAGGGAGGUCCAGACACUCUACCACUGUUUGCGAUUGAAUAAGAAAUUUCUCUUUGGAUCAGGGGGUCAAGCUUCUAGUAUGAAGAUUGUUCAAGAGUCAAGACUGUUGAAGAGGUGACGUCAUGGACCUGGUAGCACCUGGCAAGGGAACUAAAUUAUAUUACUGUUCACCCUCAAGUAUCCUAAAAACGGUUUAAAAUUUUGAACAUUAACAAAAGUACUAAUUUUCAUGUUUUUCAAAGAUAAUAAUCAUUAUAUUGACAUUGUGGAUAUAUUUUAUGAUUAUCAUAAAAUUAUUAUAAUGUUAAUGAUGAUAGGUCAUAAUAAUGCAAAUGAACAAUAGGUAGAAAAGAAGACAACCAAGAAGGAGGA